rnacentral:rRNA from 1 species
GAUGAACGCUGGCGGCGUGCCUAAUACAUGCAAGUCGAGCGAACAGACGAGGAGCUUGCUCCUCUGACGUUAGCGGCGGACGGGUGAGUAACACGUGGAUAACCUACCUAUAAGACUGGGAUAACUUCGGGAAACCGGAGCUAAUACCGGAUAAUAUAUUGAACCGCAUGGUUCAAUAGUGAAAGACGGUUUUGCUGUCACUUAUAGAUGGAUCCGCGCCGCAUUAGCUAGUUGGUAAGGUAACGGCUUACAAAGGCAACGAUGCGUAGCCGACCUGAGAGGGUGAUCGGCCACACUGGAACGGAGACACGGUCGAGACUCCGGCGGGGGGCAGCAGUAGGGAAUCUUCCGCAAUGGGCGAAAGCCUGACGGAGCAACGCCGCGUGAGGGAUGAAGGUCUUCGGAUCGUAAAACUCUGUUAUUAGGGAAGAACAAAUGUUUAAGUAACUAUGCACGUCUUGACGGUACCUAAUCAGAAAGCCACGGCUAACUACGUG